ACUCCUACGGGAGGCAGCAGUGGGGAAUAUUGCACAAUGGGCGAAAGCCUGAUGCAGCAACGCCGCGUGAGCGAUGAAGGCCUUCGGGUCGUAAAGCUCUGUCCUCAAGGAAGAUAAUGACGGUACU
rnacentral:rRNA from 1 species